rnacentral:rRNA from 1 species
UACGUAGGUGGCAAGUGUUGUCCGGAAUUAUUGGGCGUAAAGCGCGCGUAGGCGGUUUCUUAAGUCUGAUGUGAAAGCCCACGGCUCAACCGUGGAGGGUCAUUGGAAACUGGGGAACUUGAGUGCAGAAGAGAAGAGCGGAAUUCCACGUGUAGCGGUGAAAUGCGUAGAGAUGUGGAGGAACACCAGUGGCGAAGGCGGCUCUUUGGUCUGUAACUGACGCUGAGGCGCGAAAGCGUGGGGAUCAAACAGG